rnacentral:lncRNA from 1 species
ACAACAUAUUUCCUGAUCUCACUAGGUAUUCAUGGUGUCACUCAGAUAUUCACAUUUUGUUAUGCUAAUUAUCUUUUUAAAAGAAUAUGACACGUGCAUUCAAGAUACCUUGGAGCUACAAUGGCAUUUAGAUUGUAAAAGGCAUCAGCGGCAACAGUUACAAAACCAAAUACUUCAGACAGAAACAGCCAACAGAGAGAUUCAGGAGGAUAUAGACUUCAUGAAGAAACACAGCCCUCUGCUGGAAGAAAAGCUGAUUCUAGAGGGUGAAGCUGUGAAAGAAGUGUUAAUGGCUUAUGAAAAGGCAUCAAAAAUGUACAGUGAUGUUUGUUGUGAACUCAUGGAAAUCGAAAAGACAAUGAAAAGAAUUGAUGAAGAAUCUGAAAAGAAGAUAAAAUCUAUGUAUGAGAAAAUUAAAUGUGCUGAGAUGCUACUGAGUAAAUGCAAGAAUGAGUUAAAGCAUUCUGAAUUUAUUUGGACCGAAUACUGUAUGAAGUUAAAAGAAACAGAGGAGAAGAUUAUAAAGGAUGAAAAACACCUUGAGGAGUUAGUGAAGCAAAAAGCAGAAAUCCAGGAAGAUGCAAAAUGUUGGAACAGCAAAAUAGAAGAUUUGAAUAAUAAAAUAGCUGCCCAAGGAGAUGAGAACGUAAAAAUAUCAGCUGCUUCUUCUGAAGUAUUUAAAGCUGUGGAAGAAUUAAAAUCCACCAGGAAAAGUGAUCUACAAUAUAGAAAGCAAACAAUUCUUAAUAUUAAUGAAGCACUGGACAUUUUGAAAAGUGAAAAUGAAGAACUUGAGAGAGAAAAGGAAAAGAUUUUGCAAAAAAUUGGAAAUAGGUAAUGCAUGCAAUAUAAAUAUAAAGUAAAAAAUGUUAUUUUUUCACUGAAAGCAUUCCUAUAAAAUGAAUCUUGCCUUUAU